UACGGAGGGUGCAAGCGUUAUCCGGAUUCACUGGGUUUAAAGGGUGCGUAGGCGGGUUGGUAAGUCCGUGGUGAAAUCCCCAAGCUUAACUUGGGAACUGCCGUGGAUACUAUCAAUCUUGAAUAUCGUGGAGGUAAGCGGAAUAUGUCAUGUAGCGGUGAAAUGCUUAGAUAUGACAUAGAACACCAAUUGCGAAGGCAGCUCACUACGCGAAUAUUGACACUGAGGCACGAAAGCGUGGGGAUCAAACAGG
rnacentral:rRNA from 1 species